rnacentral:rRNA from 1 species
AGCAGCCGCGGUAAUUCCAGCUCCAAUAGCGUAUAUUAAAGUUGUUGCAGUUAAAAAGCUCGUAGUUGAAUUUCGGGGUUAGUAGGUUGGUCAUGCCACUGGUAUGUACUGAUCUUACUGAUUCCUCCUUCCUGAUGAACCGUAAUGCCAUUAAUUUGGUGUUGCGGGGAGACUGGACUGUUACUUUGAAAAAAUUAGAGUGUUUAAAGCAGGCUAACGCUUGAAUACAUUAGCAUGGAAUAAUGAAGUAGGACGUUCGAUCCUAUUUUGUUGGUUUCUAGGAUUGACGUAAUGAUUAAUAGGGAUAGUUGGGGGCAUUAGUAUUCAAUUGUCAGAGGUGAAAUUCUUGGAUUUAUUGAAGACUAACUACUGCGAAAGCAUUUGCCAAGGAUGUUUUCAUUAAUCAAGAACGAAAGUUAGGGGAUCGAAGACGAUCAGAUACCGUCGUAGUCUUAACCAUAAACUAUGCCGACUAGGGAUCGGAUGAUGUUAAUUUUUUAAUGUACUCAUUCGGCGCCUUAAC